rnacentral:rRNA from 2 species
UAGGGAAUUUUCGGCAAUGGACGAAAGUCUGACCGAGCAACGCCGCGUGAACGAAGAAGUAUUUCGGUAUGUAAAGUUCUUUUAUCAGGGAAGAAAAUAAAAUUGACGGUACCUGAUGAAUAAGCUCCGGCUAACUACGUGCCAGCAGCCGCGGUAAUACGUAGGGAGCGAGCGUUAUCCGGAAUUAUUGGGCGUAAAGGGUGCGUAGACCGCUGUUUAAGUCAUUUGUAAAAGUGCUAAGCUCAACUUAGUGAGGCAAAUGAUACUGGACAGCUAGAGUACAGAAGAGGCAAGUGGAACUUCAUGUGUAGCGGUAAAAUGCGUAAAUAUAUGGAAGAACACCAGUGGCGAAGGCGGCUUGCUGGUCUGAUACUGACGUUGAGGCACGAAAGCGUGGGGAGCAAACAGG